UGGUUCUGACAAUCAGCAGGUAGAAGUUAUAAGAAGCUGUGGAGCAGUCGCUCGCUUCAAGCCUUUGUCAUGUUUAUGUCCAAGAUCUGGCUUCAGGUAAAGCUCCAGACCUCACAGCCUGCCUGGCUGUUUCCACAUUUCCUCCUCGGACUCACCAGGCACCAAGCUCCUCCUUCUGGUUCACCUUGGACAAAUUUGUCUUUGCAGAAGAGGGCUGUUUGAGUCACAAGUGGAAAGUUCCCACCCCCAGCCAUCCACCAUCCUCCUCCCACUAGAACUCUCUUUCCAAGUCAGGUCCAGACUGAAUGAAGGAGAAAAUAAAGAGAUCUAAAUGUCAGUGGGGAGCUGAGUGCAUUCCAUUCGCCACGUCCAGAGAGCGGUCACCCAGAACAACUUGUGAUCCUGGGACAAAGCUGACGACAGCAGGUGGCCACAUAAAGAAAAUUUCCUGCAAGAAUUAGAUCUUAUCCCAGGGAAGUGCCAUUGAGUCAUAGAUAAUACAGCCCUCACCCCACCAUCCUGCUGGGUCCAGAAGUAUUUUCAUUUCAAUUUCUUUACACAACGAUGCUUUUCAUCUUGACCAGGGUGAGAUGACAGUGCUGCUGCUAUGAAAUAAAUGGGAAGCAGUUGAAAGGUAGAAUUAUCCUCAGGACCUGCAACAUUGCUUGGAAUGCACCACUGUUUCUAUUCAUGUAUAUUUGUGAGAUGCAGCAGAGAAAUCCCUCACACGCACAUGGCAGUCACACACACACACACACACACACAGACAUAGAUUCCAAAAGGAACUGCCACCUAUUCACACACACACACACACGUUUAAUCCAAACAGAACUGGUAUUUUAUAAUUUCAUCUGUGCAGCUGCAUUUUCCCCCUCCCCAGUUUUCUAGUUGUCUGGGGGGCAUAUAAAUGAUGCAUGAGAAUGAAAAUGUCACCCUCAAAAUAAAGAGAAACCAAUUUUGCCACCUAGAAAAUGGUAAUUUUUAACUUUUUCCUCAGUGUUUCCAGCUUUUCUGUCAGAGGUCUCUAAGUGAAAUGCCAACUCAUACAAAAAGCCAAAUGCUUCAAAGCAUUCAAUGAGGGGAAGAUAUUAUUCACACAGAUGGUGGAUGUCACAUGACUAGAGGUCAGCGAAUGUGAUCUAAACAGACUCAGACCUCACUGUGUCCAUAAUUCUUGAUGUCAC